GGAAAAGGGGGGGAGGGGAGGGGCAUCGACAGAAGGUAUAAAAGCCGCUGCCCGCCUUCUCUCUCUCAAGACCCUCCACCACCAGCGACCUAUCUACUGCUGUGAGGUAGCGGAUCUUCCUCGACCGACUAACACACGCCCAGCCCGCGCCAACUCCCACGCCGUCAGGAUGGUUGUCUCCUCCCGCAUGCUCGCCGCCCACACCAACGGCUACCCCCUCGACGCCAAGGCCCGAUUCUGGUCCAACUACUACAGGUCCCUCAAGGACAUCACCAGACAGGAGCAUCGCCCACGCGUCUCUGAGUCAUUGCCUUCGCGCUCAGCUCCGUCUCAGUACUCCGGCCCCGCUGUCUACCCCAAGAGCACCUUCCCCCUGGUCCUGAACACGAUAUCCCCCUCAGUGCGCCCGACCUGCCAUCUGUAGGCGACUGGCGGCGACGAUGUGUGGGCCUGAUGCCUGCCCCGAUGCUGGUACUGGUCCCUUCCACACUAGCCACCAUUACCACCACCACCACCACUACCACCGCCAUCACCACCGCCACCGCCACCACCUCCCCAAAUAAGUCUUUCUGGCCCGCCACGGAGCGUCUGUGAGUCAUGGAGCUUCGGAGCGGCUCAGAGGUUCACGGUUCACGGUUCAGACCAACGAUUCGAAUCUUUUUCUCUCGAUCGCACUUUUUCCGUUCUUUUUUUCAUUAGUGUUUUGAAAAUGUGAAUGGAAUUUGUCUUUAUGUGUGGAUAUAUGUAUGUGUGUGUACGUUUUAUAGCUAUACACGCACAUACAUAGAUACAUACAUGCAUUACGAUAGUGUGGGUGAUGAGAAUGGGAAAUACAGAGAAAAAGGAUAGUUUAAACGUAUACAUAUUAUUGCUCUCGUAUAUGUAUUAAGUUUAAGGUCUUUGAAUGUGAGAUAGUGUAUCGUCAUAAGCCUGAAAGAAAAAUUUUGUAUAAAAAAUCUUGACGAAAAAGCACAACAGUUGUAUUUCUGAAAACCCUUGACGGAGCCAGACUUUGCAUGGAGGACUAAAGAAGAUGUAAAUUGGUAAACAAAAUAAAUGGGCGACCUUGAAAAAAAUGUAAAUCAUCAUCAUCUUAAUCAUCAUCAUCACUACUACGAUAAACAAACAAACAAACAAACAAACAGGUAAGAAACACACAGGUACCAAUUAACAUCUUUACUGAAUCUUAAAAUCAGUGAAUCAUUAAAAUUUGAUCAUGCAAGCAAGCGACUGACCGAGCGAGAGAGAGAGAGAGAGAGAGAGAGAGAGAGAGAGAGAGAGAGAGAGAGAGAGAGAGAGAGAGAGAGAGAGAGAGAGAGAGAGAGAGAGAGAGAGAGAGAGAGAGAGAGAGAGAGAGAGAGAGAGAGGAAAUGGUUCUGAGCGGUGUAAAGAAAAUCAGAUAAGAGAGAGAGAGAGAGAGAGAGAGAGAGAGAGAGAGAGAGAGAGAGAGAGAGAGAGAGAGAGAGAGAGAGAA